GAUGAACGCUAGCGGGAGGCCUAACACAUGCAAGUCGAACGGGAUUGGGAGCUUGCUCCCAUGAGAGUGGCGCACGGGUGAGUAACGCGUAUGCAACCUGCCUUUAACUGAGGGAUAGCCCAUAGAAAUGUGGAUUAAUACCUCAUAGUUCUUUUGUUCCGCAUGGGAUGAUAGAUAAAGCUCCGGCGGUUAAAGAUGGGCAUGCGUGACAUUAGCUAGUUGGUAAGGUAACGGCUUACCAAGGCGACGAUGUCUAGGGGUUCUGAGAGGAUGAUCCCCCACACUGGUACUGAGACACGGACCAGACUCCUACGGGAGGCAGCAGUGAGGAAUAUUGGUCAAUGGGCGCAAGCCUGAACCAGCCAUCCCGCGUGAAGGAUGAAGGCCCUAUGGGUCGUAAACUUCUUUUAUACGCCAAGAAAAUUUCGGACGUGUCCGGAACUGACGGUAGUGUAUGAAUAAGCAUCGGCUAACUCCGUGCCAGCAGCCGCAGUAAAAC
rnacentral:rRNA from 1 species